rnacentral:rRNA from 1 species
GUGAACGCUGGCGGUAGGCCUAACACAUGCAAGUCGAACGGCAGCACAGUAAGAGCUUGCUCUUACGGGUGGCGAGUGGCGGACGGGUGAGGAAUACAUCGGAAUCUACUUUUUCGUGGGGGAUAACGUAGGGAAACUUACGCUAAUACCGCAUACGACCUACGGGUGAAAGCAGGGGAUCUUCGGACCUUGCGCGAUUGAAUGAGCCGAUGUCGGAUUAGCUAGUUGGCGGGGUAAAGGCCCACCAAGGCGACGAUCCGUAGCUGGUCUGAGAGGAAGAUCAGCCACACUGGAACUGAGACACGGUCCAGACUCCUACGGGAGGCAGCAGUGGGGAAUAUUGGACAAUGGGCGCAAGCCUGAUCCAGCCAUACCGCGUGGGUGAAGAAGGCCUUCGGGUUGUAAAGCCCUUUUGUUGGGAAAGAAAAGCAGCAGGUUAAUACCCCGCUGUUCUGACGGUACCCAAAGAAUAAGCACCGGCUAACUUCGUG